UAUAGAAUCUGCCCUGUACUGGGGAAUUGCCCAGAGAAAUUUGGAUUAAUGCCCCAUGGUAUGUUUAAGCGGCAUCGCUUUUACAUUAAAGGCUACGGUACAGGAUGACUAUGCGUCCCAUUAGUUAGUUGGUAAGGUAACGGCUUACCAAGGCAGCGAUGGGUAGGGGCCCUGAGAGGGGGAUCCCCCACACUGGUACUGAGACACGGACCAGACUCCUACGGGAGGCAGCAGUGAGGAAUAUUGGACAAUGGGCGGGAGCCUGAUCCAGCCAUGCCGCGUGCAGGAAGACGGUCCUAUGGAUUGUAAACUGCUUUUGUACGGGAAGAACAAGGGGCACGUGUGCCCUUCUGACGGUACCGUAAGAAUAAGGAUCGGCUAACUCCGUGCCAGCAGCCGCGGUAAUACGGAGGAUCCGAGCGUUAUCCGGAAUCAUUGGGUUUAAAGGGUCCGUAGGCGGGCCAUUAAGUCAGGGGUGAAAGUCUGCGGCUCAACCGUAGAAUUGCCCUUGAUACUGGUGGUCUUGAGUUAUGGUGAAGUAACUAGAAUAUGUAGUGUAGCGGUGAAAUGCAUAGAUAUUACAUAGAAUACCGAUUGCGAAGGCAGGUUACUAACCAUAUACUGACGCUGAUGGACGAAAGCGUGGGGAGCGAACAGGAUUAGAUACCCUGGUAGUCCACGCCGUAAACGAUGGAUACUAGCUGUCCGGAUGCAAAUCUGGGCGGCCAAGCGAAAGUGAUAAGUAUCCCACCUGGGGAGUACGUCCGCAAGGAUGAAACUCAAGGGAAU
rnacentral:rRNA from 1 species